AGAAAGUCAUCCAGGCGGUGAGCUUCACUCAUUUGUGGGAUAUACAACUGAAAGGCUACACAGAGGUGCAGACACUGAAGGUGUCAGAAGGUACCAUGGUCACAAGAAGCUUCAGUACUGCAGGAUGCAGAGCUCUCACAGUGUGUGUAGCGCUUUCCCACUUCAAACUUCCUCUCAUUUUCUGUGGUCACUUACUGGGUGUCCACGGUCAAGUUGUCUGGAAAGAAUGAUAUGUGGCUCUUUCCUGGUAAAGGGCCCUCUCAGCGACUUGGAGAUGGAAAUGGCGUUUUUAACAAGUGGCCUGGGAAGCUAUUGAUUAUAGUGCCA